AUCCUUCUGGUUCAGACAGGUGAUGAAUGGAUUGGUCAUGUGAUUAUUGCAUGAAAUGUGCCUCCUUUCAAUCUUGUUACAACUGGCACACAACCCUUCUGAUU